rnacentral:rRNA from 1 species
AUUGAUUUUAUGCUUGCAUAAAUGAUUUUUGGAUUCGGAGCGAGUGGCGAACUGGUGAGUAACACGUGGGUAACCUGCCCCGAAGCGGGGGAUAACAUUUGGAAACAAGUGCUAAUACCGCAUAAUUAGUUGGAACCGCAUGGUUCCAACUUGAAAGAUGGCUCUGCUAUCACUUUGGGAUGGACCCGCGCCGUAUUAGUUAGUUGGUGAGAUAAAAGCCCACCAAGACGAUGAUACGUAGCCGACCUGAGAGGGUAAUCGGCCACAUUGGGACUGAGACACGGCCCAGACUCCUACGGGAGGCAGCAGUAGGGAAUCUUCCACAAUGGACGAAAGUCUGAUGGAGCAACGCCGCGUGAGUGAUGAAGGUUUUCGGAUCGUAAAACUCUGUUGUUAAAGAAGAACAAGUGUUAGAGUAACUGUUAACACUUUGACGGUAUUUAACCAGAAAGCCACGGCUAACUACGUGCCAGCAGCCGCGGCAAUACGUAGGUGGCAAGCGUUGUCCGGAUUUAUUGGGCGUAAAGCGAGCGCAGGCGGUUUUGUAAGUCUGCUGUGAAAGCCCUCAGCUCAACUGAGGAAGUGCAGUGGAAACUACAAAACUUGAGUACAGAAGAGGAAAGUGGAACUCCAUGUGUAGCGGUGAAAUGCGUAGAUAUAUGGAAGAACACCAGUGGCGAAGGCGGCUUUCUGGUCUGUUACUGACGCUGAGGCUCGAAAGCAUGGGUAGCGAACAGGAUUAGAUACCCUGGUAGUCCAUGCCGUAAACGAUGAAUACUAGGUGUUGGAGGGUUUCCGCCCUUCAGUGCCGCAGCUAACGCAUUAAGUAUUCCGCCUGGGGAGUACGACCGCAAGGUUGAAACUCAAAGGAAUUGACGGGGGCCCGCACAAGUGGUGGAGCAUGUGGUUUAAUUCGAUGCUACGCGAAGAACCUUACCAGCUCUUGACAUCUUCUGCCAACCCAAGAGAUUGGGCGUUCCCUUCGGGGACAGAAUGACAGGUGGUGCAUGGUUGUCGUCAGCUCGUGUCGUGAGAUGUUGGGUUAAGUCCCGCAACGAGCGCAACCCUUAUUAUUAGUUGCCAGCAUUUAGUUGGGCACUCUAGUGAGACUGCCGGUGAUAAA